rnacentral:misc_RNA from 1 species
CCUCCUGAAUGAUGCCAGCCCAGUAUGCUCU